AAACAGCCAGGAAGGAGGACUUGUCUCCUAUUCCACAGUGAAAUCUUUCUAUCUGUUGGUCAGUUAUGAGCUCAUGACAACUCAGUUCUCCAGAAAACUUCUUUCAGCCCUCCCAGCUGGAAGGCAGCUCUGCUGGAUAAGGCAUUUGAUCAAGACACAAAUCUUCAACAAUAUGUAACAGCACAAACUUAACGCAGUUUUUUCAAGCCUAAUAUAGAACAGCUUAUAUAAAAGGCAUAAUACGGAACAGAGCUUUGGCUGUCAAAUCUAGUAAUUGGUCUUUCUUUCUGGUCCAAGCCGUAUAUAUCCCCCAAAACCUGCCUGAGACAUGCAUCAUUUAUUAUCCGGAGUGCAACUCCAAACCGUCUCGGCUAUAUUUUUCACGAAUCAAAAUGUGACAUGGAUUUUUUUUUAAGGAAAUAUAACUGUCACUUGGAGUAAAGUGCUUUUCCAGGUGUAGCUGCGUUCCAGCUGCGCCCACCCCUCCGUGAGAGUGGAGGUCAAGAUGCUGGCAAAGGUGUAAAAAUCUCAGGAGGCUCAGUUCGGCCUCGGAUGCCAACAGAGAUGCAUGGCUGAAGGUGGCUGCCCCCAGUGCCACGGGGAAAUGGGUUAUUUCCCCCAUCUUUUCAGAAUGACCACCAUGGGAGAGUAAGGUGUUUGUAGGAUGUCCGGUCUUACAGUCCUGCCCAUCCACAGCCCCCCAUGUAACCUGUUUCUUUUGCCAGUGUCGGCAUGCACGCAGGCAGAGCUCAGACGUACAGCAGCUUCCUUAAUGAAGCAUACAGUGCCUGCACGCCUGCUUGUUUAGGUCUGAAAGGCUCUGAGCCUUUUAUCCCUAUCCAAGCAGGAAUUCAGCCUAUUGCCUGGAUACCUAUAAAUUCACCAGGGACAGACUUAAGGCCUCCUUUAGCACCAGCCUAUCGUGUCAAAGAGCUCAUAUGAAAUCAUGCGAUGCCGCCAUUCAGACCACAGUUACCCAUAUAAAAUGGGUAGAAUACUAUUGGCAGCUGCCAAAGAUGCUAAAGGGAUUUUCCAUACACCUCGGAAUGAAGAAUUUGGCCUUCCAACGCUACCGUUCUAUUUCUGUGCCAAAUCAGUACUAAAGUCCAUUACAACGAAAAAUUAGCCUAGCAAAACAUACUAUUUCAAAGACCCUGUAAAAUAAUUUAGAAGAAAAGCACUGCAAGGUUUUCUACACUAAAUAUAUCUUCGGACGAUACAGCAGCCAGCAAAUACGCGCUCCUUCAUCAAGAGCUGCGUUUCGACCUCGCCUGUGAGCACUUCAUUACUGCCUCUCAGCCAGCCUAAGUUGAACAGUCUGGAAGACAAGUCUGGACCAAUUUCUCCAUCCUGCCUCUGGCAGCAGAAUGCAGCAUUUCAGAUCCUCCACCGAGUCCCGGCUGCUUCAAAGGAAAAGCCCUACUUUCUUCCGUUAAGAUCAUAAGAAAUAUAGGGGGAGGGGGUCAGCUCUGUUUGGACAUAAUUACACUUCAUCAAAAGAAGCUUUCUUCAUCUUCCAUGCGUGAAAAGUCUGCAAGCAGGCUGGUUUAAAAAUGAAUAAUUACUGUGAGUACGUAAAGCAAAACUAUUUAGGUUGAAGCAAGGACUGAUAUAACAAACCCCUCUGAGGAUUCCUGCAGCAAAGACUGAAGUGCCAGCUUCCUUCAAGCGAUCCUUUCAAUCACUACCUCAAAUUUUAAGGCAGCUACAAGAAUCUUAAAUUCUUUUGAGACUCGCAGUGAUUACACAGGCUUUCUAUAACUGCAGUGCGCUUCCCAGGUUACAGAAGGUCCAAAACAGCUGGAGGACAAUGACAGCACUCUAAAUCUUCAAAAAAAUUGAAAGUCACCUGCUCUGACAUUUCAAGUAAAGGUUAAAUUUUGUUCAAGCCAAAGCUUAUAGCAAUUCAUAAAAAAGUCAGCCAGGUUACUAAAAAGAAAAGUAAGGCUUAUCUCUGCGGGUCAUAUGCAGUUUGAUCGUAAAGGGCAGGGAAGUCACUAGAAAGCUUUCUACCAAUAGCUGUAAGCCCUUAAAGAAUAUAACCUAUAGCACAUGUGAUAUGCAAAACCGCCGUAAUUAUAGCUCUUCUGCAACAACUUCAGAAGAAGCUCUGCUGCUAAAGGGAAUUCUGCGUCUCUCGUUACCGUGGCCUGAGAUGCACUAUCUGACUGUACAAAACUCAUCACAAAUAUCCUCACUUUCUUCCACUUUUGCUGUUCAAUUAAAAUAGGGAACCAAGGUAUUCUGUGAAUCAUUUUUGUAAAACUGGUGUCUCAAAAAUGAACAAAGACGCGGCAGAAAAACUUUGCAAGGGAGAAAACCGCUUCACUUGGUUGGACAAAGUUUGCUGAAGCUUGCGAAUAAAAGAUGCAUUCAUGAAAGGCUGACAGCGAUUUAUUUACACGCUAAUCUGUAUUUCCUUGUGAAAUGAGUCUGAUGUCUAGACUUUUCUUUUGCUUCACUACGAACACGUACAGCGCAGUGGCCUACCUCUUCCGCUUCUUCCCACAAAUCGUAAGUCAUUGAAUCUGGCCACCUGGUUCUUCAUCACGGCAGAAGCGUUUCGCAGCUCUGCAGAGUAGUUCUCAUCGUUUCCAGCCAUGACAGUGACCACGGUCCCAUCAGGCACUUCUCCCAAGGCCACCACCUGUUAAAACGGGAAGAAAAACCACAGCUUGUGAGACAGCCCUCGAAAACGCGUGUCGCCAUCCCAGCUUUGCACCCUGCCACAUUCAUGACGAAGCUCUGUGGCAGCUUCUCCAGCCAACUGUGGUGAACAGUCAUGUGUUAGCUGAACACAGAACAAAGUGCCACAUCAAACAAAGAAACAUCAUGUAUUGUCUCCCUCUCUCACAGCCUAAUAGGGAGUUACUUCUUUGUUACAUUUCUUCUGAAACAUUCAACAGCCUUAUGUAGAGGGCCUGGUUUAAUACUUCCUGAAGGCCAACUUUGUUCUCAGCAACCAGCGUGCAGCGAGAAAACACGAGGCAGGGCUCGUAGCCAUAAAUUACACACGAGAGCACAUUUGAAAUGGAAAGUCGGGGAUUGCUAUCAGCAGCCACAGCACCCGGGUUGGGUUGGCAGUGGUCGGGCCCAGCCUCCCGGCCUGUGGCCUCCUCGGGCCUCACGGGACCACCAGCAGCGCCCGCGGACCCGUCGUGAGGGGUGGCACCGGGGUGGCACCGGGCACAGCUCACAGUGAGCUGCGAUGGAGCGCUUCGUGGCUUCAAGUCAAGCUCUUCAGAUGCAAGAUGAAACAAAGGCUGCAUUUCCUCGCAGGCAUGUAAAUCUUCAGAGCGCUCGCAAGAGUCGCGUGUGGUUAGCACCGAUACCCCGCUCAAAUUCCAGGACGGGUGAGCAGAAUAAAUUAAAGUAUUUCUCCCUACAUUGCAGCUCCCUGAUAGUCCCACUUUCAUGCCUUGGCGGUUCUGUAGCGCUCUAACCGACGAUGAGAUAAAUGCCACAGAGCGGACAGCCACUGUAUUCUAAUUUGAAAACACCAGUGAUACCCACGGUAUUAGCACACUGUGACUUUUUAAAGCAAAAAUAAAGUUAAACAGGAACACUAAGUUACUAGGAAGAAAACAUACAAGUUUCUUCACACAGGAUAAAAAAAGUCCACAGAAGUGGAAAUAAUUUCCUGUUGCCCAGUUAACUAAUACUGAUGCUAGAAAUGCAUUUACAACAAAAACAGGUCCACAAAUAUUGCAUGGCUGAGCUGUAACUUCAAAAAAAUGUAAUUUUGAGAUACAAAACCUGUCCUUUUGCAAUUCCUACCAGUUUACAUGGUCAGCUAUGACUUUUUAUAUAACCCAUUUUAUUCUGUCUCCUGAAAUAUGUAUGACAUUUUGUCAGAAGCCCUGCUUGAAAUGUCUUUCCCAUAAAUGAUCAUGCCUGAAACUAAUAAUUGAAGGUGCACUGUAAUAUUAAUUAAGCAAAAAGAAUGAGUUCUGAAUAUAUAUGGAGAGCAUUACAUGGCCCAGUGCACUGUAAAGUGUUUCUCUACAACAACAAAAAUUAAUGACAAAGGUAUACAAAACCUGAAAAUAUUUAAAAUAGACUAUAUUAUUGAAAAAUAGUCUACUUCAUCUUACUUAAGGGAAAGCAUAAAGCAAAGCUGAUUGAAAAAAACAAAAUGGAUUA